rnacentral:rRNA from 1 species
GAAAAAUAUCUCUCAGCUCAAUCAAUCCCCACCAGCAACCUUAUCCAUCCGCCUGCACCACCUCUUCCAUUAUCCGACUGAUGAAGAUCUUGCCGCUUGCCAUCACCGAACUAAUUCCCAAACCAUCGCGACUACACUUGUUGAUUCAUUUCUUCCAACUUCUCUUCGUCUGGCGCAGUCUGCAGUUGCGCGGAGUGCGCGGGCGCAUUCUCAAGGACCUGGAUCCUCGACGACCUCGUGGAGUCCGGCGGAGCGUUCUCAAGGGUUUCGGCCAAGGUGAUGACAUGGCCGACGGCUAGAGAACCAUGGCAGAGUGAGAUGCUGGCCUCCUCUUUGUUCUUGCUGGCCUCCUCAUUGUUCUUCCUGUCAAAUUACUAUUAAAUUCCCAUUGCUAUCAUUUGGCUCCUCUUUCACAGGCACCCGUUCGCAUGAAAGUUCGCCAGACCGAAAGUGGUUUCGGGUCACUUCUUCCGACGUUGAUUGGAGCAGUUGGGCGUAACUUCAUCGGGCGUCGAGUGUGCUUUGGCGUGACUUCGUCGGAAGUCGAUUGAAGCGGCUGGAGGUGGCUUUUGGUGUGGACGUCGAGUCGCGUGUGGCUUGUUCAAGUCGUGGUUGCUGACUUCUAACUGUUUGGUGGUUGCUUGUCCGGCCGGCUAUACUUAUAUAAUGGGUUGUGUUGAGGUGUCUUGGGUUGAGGUGGCUGAGACCGUGUGGAGAUCAGAUUGUGAAAUUGUCUGUAUUUGUUUCUGUUUUGGAACUUUCCUCGCGUGGUCUGGUGGUUGUCCUUAUUUUGUUUAGGUUCCUUAUUUGUUUAGGUUUGACUAUUAUUUUUUCUUAUCCUUGACCCAUUGAUGGAAAGAUAUUUUUUAUUUGUGCGG